rnacentral:tRNA from 1 species
GCUGGAGUAGCUUGACGGUUAAGGCGCCGCUCUCCUACGCGAAGAGUCCUGGGUUCGAGCCCUGACUGUAGCA